rnacentral:tRNA from 1 species
GCCCGCUUGGCUUAGUGGUAAAGCGCAUCACUAGUACCGUAGUACCGAAGUACAAAGUACUGAUAUAACUACGUACCUUCAACGCUAGUGUCAUGAUGAGAUCACUGGUUCGAUUCCAGUAGUGGGCA